rnacentral:rRNA from 1 species
UACGUAGGAUGCAAGCGUUGUCCGGAAUUAUUGGGCGUAAAGAGUUCGUAGGCGGUUGCCUAAGUCUGGUGUUAAAUACAGGAGCUCAACUCCUGCAUGGCAUUGGAAACUGGGCGGCUAGAGUGUGGUAGAGGUCACGGGAAUUCCAGGUGUAGCGGUGAAAUGCGUAGAUAUUGGGAAGAACACCGGUGGCGAAGGCGGCGCUCUGGACCGAGACUGACGCUGAGGCGCGAAAGCGUGGGGAGCAAACAGG